rnacentral:tmRNA from 1 species
UCCAGCUCGUUCCGAACGGCCUGUCUCUCGGCCCGUGACGAACUAAAUCAAUAGAGAAGACUAAGCAUGUAGAUCCUCUAGUGGAGGAUUGGCGGACGCGGGUUCAAAUCCCGCCAUCUCCACCA